rnacentral:tRNA from 1 species
GCCUUCGGGGUAUAGUGGUCAGCACGCUCGACGCGUAACCGAGAGGUCCGUGGUUCGAUUCCCGGCGAAGGUG